UGGUUGUUGGUCCCUAUUAAAGGAUAUCAGGGACAGUAUAGCUGGUUCCUUCUCAGGAACCAUUUAUCUCCCGAAUAUUCCUCAAAGGAAGGCUAGGAAACUAACUUGAGUGGGGCAAAAAACUAUCCCCUAAAAAGGCCCAAGACCUUUAUGUGGAUUACAAUGUAGAAGAAGCCCCCGACGAUCGCCGUUGCAGCUCCAUAGCC
rnacentral:lncRNA from 1 species